GACGAACGCUGGCGGCGUGCUUAACACAUGCAAGUCGAACGGAAAGGCCCUGCUUUUGUGUGGUGCUCGAUUGGCGAGCGGGGGAGUAACACGUGAGGAACCUCCCCUUGACUGUGGGAGAACUUCAGGAAACUCGGUCGAAUACCGGAGAUGAUCUCCUGCAGCAUGUUGUGCGUUGGAAAGUGUCGGUGGUUGGGGCUGGAUUGGCGGGUUAUGAGCUGGUUGGGGGGGUAGUGACUUCCAAAGGCUUUGACGGGUAGCCGGCCUGAGAGGGUGACCGGCCACAUUGGGCCUGAGAUACGGCCCAGACUGCUAUGGGAGGCAGUAGUGGGGAGUAUUGCAGAAUGGGGGGAAGUGUGAUACAGAAGCGCCGGGUGCGGGAUGCCGGCCUUCGAGUUAAAAACAGCUUUGGCCGGUGACGAAGCGUGCGUGACGGUAAUGGGUAAAGAAGCCACGGCUAACUACGUG
rnacentral:rRNA from 1 species